rnacentral:rRNA from 1 species
ACUCCUACGGGAGGCAGCAGUGGGGAAUAUUGCACAAUGGGCGCAAGCCUGAUGCAGCCAUGCCGCGUGUAUGAAGAAGGCCUUCGGGUUGUAAAGUACUUUCAGCAGUGAGGAAGGCGGGUGUGUUAAUAGCACAUUCGUUUGACGUUAGCUGCAGAAGAAGCACCGGCUAACUCCGUGCCAGCAGCCGCGGUAAUACGGAGGGUGCGAGCGUUAAUCGGAAUUACUGGGCGUAAAGCGCAUGCAGGUGGUUUGUUAAGUCAGAUGUGAAAGCCCGGGGCUCAACCUCGGAAUUGCAUUUGAAACUGGCAGACUAGAGUACUGUAGAGGGGGGUAGAAUUUCAGGUGUAGCGGUGAAAUGCGUAGAGAUCUGAAGGAUACCGGUGGCGAAGGCGGCCCCCUGGACAGAUACUGACACUCAGAUGCGAAAGCUGGGGA